GGGGUUGUGCCUCAGUGGUACAGUGCUUGCCUAGCAUGCAUGAGGCACUGGGUUCAAUCCUCAGCACCACA
rnacentral:tRNA from 1 species